rnacentral:rRNA from 1 species
CAGUCGCCACGGUAAUACAGAGGGUGCGAGCGUUAAUCGGAUUUACUGGGCGUAAAGCGUGUGUAGGUUGUUGUUCAAGUCAGUUGUGAAAUCCCUGGGCUCAACCUGGGAACUGCUUCUGAGACUGAACGACUAGAGUACGGUAGAGGGUGGUGGAAUUUCCUGUGUAGCGGUGAAAUGCGUAGAUAUAGGAAGGAACACCAGUGGCGAAGGCGACUACCUGGACUGAUACUGACACUGAGGUGCGAAAGCGUGGGGAGCAAACAGGAUUAGAUACCCCCGUAGUCCCUGUCUCUUAUAC